CAAAUACUCCCUCCGUCCAACAAAGGAUGUCUCAAGUUUGACCAAAUUUAAAUGCAUCUAUACACUAAGUCAUAUCUAAAUACAUCCAAAUUUUAACAAACUUGAGACAUCUUUUGUUGGACGGAGGGAGUAUUAA
rnacentral:pre_miRNA from 1 species